rnacentral:rRNA from 1 species
AUUGAACGCUGGCGGCAUGCCUAACACAUGCAAGUCGAACGGCAGCGCGGGCUUCGGCCUGGCGGCGCGUGGCGAACGGGGGAGUAAUGCAUCGGAACGUGCCCAGUAGUGGGGGAUAGGCCGGCGAAAGCCGGAUUAAUACCGCAUACGACCAGAGGGUGAAAGCGGGGGACCGAAAGGCCUCGCGCUAUUGGAGCGGCCGAUGUCGGAUUAGCUAGUUGGUGGGGUAAAGGCUUACCAAGGCGACGAUCCGUAGCUGGUCUGAGAGGACGACCAGCCACACUGGGACUGAGACACGGCCCAGACUCCUACGGGAGGCAGCAGUGGGGAAUUUUGGACAAUGGGCGCAACCCUGAUCCAGCCAUGCCGCGUGCGGGAAGAAGGCCUUCGGGUUGUAAACCGCUUUUGUUCGGGAAGAAAUCCUCUGGGCUAAUACCCCGGGGGGAUGACGGUACCGGAAGAAUAAGCACCGGCUAACUACGUG